rnacentral:rRNA from 1 species
AUUGAACGCUGGCGGCAUGCUUUACACAUGCAAGUCGGACGAGUGGCGAACGGGUGAGUAACAUAUCGGAACGUACCGAGUAAUGGGGGAUAACUAAUCGAAAGAUUAGCUAAUACCGCAUAUUAUUCGAGCGGCCGAUAUCCGAUUAGCUAGUUGGUGGGGUAAAGGCCUACCAAGGCGACGAUCAGUCGCGGGUCUGAGAGGAUGAUCGGCCACACUGGGACUGAGACACGGCCCAUACUCCUACGGGAGGCAGCAGUGGGGAAUUUUGGACAAUGGGCGCAAGCCUGAUCCAGCCAUGCCGCGUGUGUGAAGAAGGCCUUCGGGUUGUAAAGUACUUUCAGUCGGGAGGCGUUACCGACAGAAGAAGCACCGGCUAACUCCGUGCCAGCAGCCGCGGUAAUAC